UCCAUGAGUAAAGUGGCGCACGGGUGAGUAACACGUGACUAACCUACCCUCGAGUGGGGAAUAACCUAGAGAAAUCUGGGCUAAUACCGCAUAACACUUACGAGUCAAAGCAGCAAUGCGCUUGGGGAGGGGGUCGCGGCCGAUUAGCUAGUUGGCGGGGUAAUGGCCCACCAAGGCGAUGAUCGGUAUCCGGCCUGAGAGGGCGCACGGACACACUGGAACUGAAACACGGUCCAGACUCCUACGGGAGGCAGCAGUGGGGAAUUUUGCGCAAUGGGGGAAACCCUGACGCAGCAACGCCGCGUGGAGGAUGAAAUCCCUUGGGAUGUAAACUCCUUUCGAUCGGGACGAUUAUGACGGUACCGGAAGAAGAAGCCCCGGCUAACUUCGUGCCAGCAGCCGCGGUAAUACGAGGGGGGCAAGCGUUGUUCGGAAUUAUUGGGCGUAAAGGGCGCGUAGGCGGUUUGGCAAGUCUUAUGUGAAAUCUUCGGGCUCAACUCGAAGUCUGCAUGAGAAACUGCCGGGCUUGAGUAUGGGAGAGGUGCGU
rnacentral:rRNA from 1 species